rnacentral:tRNA from 1 species
GGAGAUGUAGCUCAGUGGUAGAGCACUUGCCUAGCAUGCAUGAGGUCCUAGGUUCAAUCUGCAAGUCCA